CCUACGGGGUGCAGCAGUGGGGAAUAUUGGACAAUGGGCGAAAGCCUGAUCCAGCCAUGCCGCGUGUGUGAAGAAGGCCUUCGGGUUGUAAAGCACUUUCAGUGGGGAAGAAAGCCUUGGGGCUAAUACCCUCGAGGAAGGACAUCACCCACAGAAGAAGCACCGGCCAACUCCGUGCCAGCAGCCGCGGUAAUACGGAGGGUGCGAGCGUUAAUCGGAAUUACUGGGCGUAAAGCGCGCGUAGGCGGUCUGAUAAGCCGGUUGUGAAAGCCCCGGGCUCAACCUGGGAACGGCAUCCGGAACUGUCAGGCUAGAGUGCAGGAGAGGAAGGUAGAAUUCCCGGUGUAGCGGUGAAAUGCGUAGAGAUCGGGAGGAAUACCAGUGGCGAAGGCGGCCUUCUGGACUGACACUGACGCUGAGGUGCGAAAGCGUGGGUAGCAAACAGGAUUAGAUACCCCAGUAGUC
rnacentral:rRNA from 1 species